GUUUUAGACGUUUACUGUUUUAGGCCGAUACAUUUUGUGGUAAUUUGCUGCACAGAGAUUGGUAGCAGAUAAAGAAACAAGCACAGAGGAAUGUAGCACUGAGAAAUGGAAGACGUCACACUCCUAUGAUGCAUUUGGACCACCUAGAUCCAGCCAUGCCUGAAGCCAGGAAUCUCUGGCCUUCUCAGGCAAUGAGCCCACCACUCUUCCAUUUGCUCAAGCCAGUGUGAGUUGGGUCUCGUGCAGUUGAGGAGCCUGCAUCAAUACAGGGGCUUUAAUAAAAAUAUAUGUACCAGGAACCCCACCCAGGUCUCUGGGCUGCCCAUGCCCAUCUUGUGAGAAGGGAGAGAACCAGGUACGGAUACUCAGAGAGCCAGCCAGAGAGCUGUAACCUCCCCUCCAUCGCUGAAGAGUCUUGCCUAUGCACAUGGCCCUGGCCUGUGCCAAUGGGCUGUCACUCAGGGUCCUGGCUUCAGGGCCCGCGUGGCUGGGGAUGCAGAGGUAGGAGGGGGCCUUGGAGUCAGCCUCAUCCCUCAGGCCCCUGGGGGGCCCCUGGACCAGCUGGAGCAGGGAGAGUGAGGGGGCGUUUGUGACAUCGCCAGAUGAGACGAUGACUAAUGGCCCUGCCAGGCCCUGGGGACCCAGGGCAGGCUCAGCACAGCAGAUGUUCUGUGAUUGCAGGAAGUCGAGGCAGGGGGGCUCAGGGCCCGCGGCUCAGCUCUGCACUAUGGCAGCCCGGGCCCAGCCUUGUGAAGAACGAAGCCCUCGGAGCGGGUGCUGACGGUGCGGCUGAUCCAGGGAACUGUGGGAAGGGUGGUCUCGAUGGACGGUUCACCACAGCCUCGUGAGAGACGAAGGAGGACUCUGAUGCUCAAGGCCACACAGCUAGAAAAUGACAGAGGCAGGACGGGAACCCACCAGCCACAGCUAGGUACCCUGCUUCUCAUUCGAGCCACAUUGGAGAUCCUGAGCUUCAGGGGACCCGGAGCCGCCUUAGCAGCCAAGCUGGGCAGGACUGCAGGAGGGCUGUGCAGGUGGCUGCCCGCCACCCAGGGGAUGGCUGUCCCCUGCAGGGGAUCCCGGAGCAGGCCAGGCCCCACAGUGGCCAGGGUAACUAAGGAAAGCGUGACUUUCCCAGCUGGCGACAGUGGGGCAGAGGCCUCAGGUGAGACGCAGAGUGUCCAGGGAGCUUUGAAAUUCAAAUAA
rnacentral:lncRNA from 1 species